rnacentral:lncRNA from 1 species
CCCUGAAAACUGUAAACCCUUUGAAAUUAUAUUUUACAAAUCGACUUCAAUUUCUCUAUCAAGAAAAAAUCAAACGAUGGAAUGAACCAAUGUUCAUUAAAGAAGGAUUUACUUCUCAAAUUACUAGAUUAUAGAAUAAGAAAUAGUUUAAACUACAAUGAGGAAAUAACCAAAAGAAUUCACAGAGAAAUCUCAAAACUAACAGAGAACAAAUGAAGAAUCAUAAGAUAACAUAUUUAACACAAAUCACAUGAAUGAUCCAUACAUGUUUGCUUUCAUUUCACAAGAUUCUUCACGACCUUUGAGCUCCAUAUGAUUUCCACUACUGAUCGCAACUUCUAUUUCCCACCCUCCACGCAUUCAUCACUUCUUAACCCUUCUUUUACUAUAUCAAAUUUACGCCAUGAAAUAGGGAGAUCCAUAUAUAUUUUUCUUUCUUGUGAAAAGAUUCUUCACUGCCUUUAAACUCCAGAUGAUCUCCACUGUUGAUCGUAACUUCUAUUCUCCACCCUCCACGUGUCCAUCACUUCUUAACCCUUCUUUUUCUAUAUCAAUUUACGGCAUGAAAUAAUGAGAUCCAUAUAUUUUUUUCUUUCUUUCACAAGAUUCUUCACUGCCUUUGAGCUCCAGAUGAUCUCCACUGUUGAUCGUAACUUCUAUUCUCCACCCUCCACGUGUCCAUCACCUCUUAACCCUUAUUUUUCUAUAUCAAUUUACGCCAUGAAAUAGGGAGAUCUAUAUGUUUUUUUUUCUUUCAUUCACAAGAUUCUUCACUGCCUUUGAGCUCCAUAUGAUCUCCACUGUUGAUCGUAACUUCUAUUCUCCACCCUCCACGUGUCCAUCACUUCUUAACCCUUAUUUUUCUAUAUCAAUUUACGCCAUGAAAUACGGAGAUCCAUAUACUUUUUUUUCUUUCACAAGAUUUUUCACUGCUUUUGAGCUACAGAUGAUCUCCACUGUUGAUCGUAACUUCUAUUCUCCACCCUCCACGUGUCCAUUACUUCUUAACCCUUAUUUUUCUAUAUCAAUUUACGCCAUGAAAUAGGGAGAUCCAUAUAUUUUUUCUUUCUUUCACAAGAUUCUUCACUGCCUUUGAGCUCCAUAUGAUCUCGACUAUUGAUCGUAACUUCUAUUCUCCACCCUCCACCCUCCACGUGUCCUUUACUUCUUAACCCUUAUUUUUCUAUAUCAAUUUACGCCAUGAAAUAGGGAGAUCCAUAUAUUUUUUUCUUUCUUUCACAAGAUUCUUCACUAUCUGUGAGCUCCAGAUGAUCUCCACUAUUAAUCGUAACUUCUAUUUUCCACCCUCCACGUGUCCAUCACUUCUUAACCCUUCUUUUUCUAUAUCAAUUUAUGCCAUGAAAUAAGGAGAUCCAUAUAUAUUUUUUCUUUUUUUCACAAAAUUCUUCACUGCAUUUGAGCUUUAGAUGAUCUCCACUGUUGAUCGUAACUUCUAU